rnacentral:rRNA from 1 species
GAACGCUGGCGGCGUGCCUAACACAUGCAAGUCGCGCGAGAACGUCUCCUUCGGGAGGCUAGUAAAGCGGCGAACGGGUGAGUAACACGUGAGCGAUCUGCCCGACGGUGGGGGACAACCCAGGGAAACCUGGGCUAAUACCGCGUACAGCGCUGGGAGUAGAGCCCCAGCGUGAAAGCUGGCCUCUCCAUGGAAGCUAGCGCCGUCGGAGGAGCUCGCGGCCUAUCAGCUUGUUGGUGGGGUAACGGCCUACCAAGGCUAUGACGGGUAGCUGGCGUGAGAGCGCGAUCAGCCACACUGGGACUGAGACACGGCCCAGACUCCUACGGGAGGCAGCAGUGGGGAAUAUUGCGCAAUGGGCGAAAGCCUGACGCAGCGACGCCGCGUGGGGGAGGAAGGCCUUAGGGUUGUAAACCCCUGUCAGACGGGACGAACCGUAUGUCGGCGAAUAUCCGGCAUGCCUGACGGUACCGUCAGAGGAAGCUCCGGCUAACUCCGUGCCAGCAGCCGCGGUAAUACGGAGGGAGCUAGCGUUGUUCGGAAUUACUGGGCGUAAAGGGCGCGUAGGCGGCCGAGUAAGUCGCGUGUGAAAGGCCGGGGCUCAACCCCGAGCACUGCACGUGAUACUGCCCGGCUAGAGAAAGGUAGAGGCGAGCGGAAUUCCCGGUGUAGCGGUGGAAUGCGUAGAUAUCGGGAAGAACACCUGUGGCGAAGGCGGCUCGCUGGGCCUUGUCUGACGCUGA